CCUGGAACUCAGUGUGUAGCCCAAGUUGCCUUGAAUUAUCAAUUCUCCUGCCUCAGCUCCUGAACCUUGGGCUUACAGGUAUGAGCUAUUAUGCCCAUGUCAUUUUCAAUCCUAGCAGAAUGGAGAGUGGCUCCUAACUGCCCAGACUAGAGCUGUAAGCAAGGGGACCGUCUGUUCCGAGGGAUGGCUGUUGCCACUCUGGACUUGAGCAUUCAGCCCCAGGGAUGCCCCUAUCCAGUGCCAGCUCUGCCUCCCAAGCAGUGUUGUAGAAUGAAACCCGACCCUAACUUCUCACCUUGGUGUUUCUGUGAAGCACAACCGACCCGCGUUUUCUCUGUGGUUAGAGGUUAGCGUGUAUCUAAAGGCCCCACUGCUCUCAGGGGGGCUGAGGUAUGAAGUGCUGAGGACUGAACCCGACUUCCUGGAUGUUAAGCACAAUGUGCUAGCCUACGCUUUCAAAGUGGUGUGCUCCUGCAAGGCCCUUGCUGAAUCUAGCUAUUCUCUGAAUUUAUUGUCUAGCUCAGGAUUUCAGAUCCCCUUUCCAGUCAUACCCAGAUUUGAUUUGAUUGCCCGUUUUGGUCCAUGUUGGUAUAGGUUGGAACGGUGAG
rnacentral:lncRNA from 1 species